UACGGAGGGUGCAAGCGUUGUUCGGAAUUACUGGGCGUAAAGGGCGCGUAGGCGGCGCUGUAAGUCAGAUGUGAAAGUCCACGGCUUAACCGUGGAAGUGCAUCUGAUACUGCAGCGCUUGAGUAUCGGAGGGGAAAGUAGAAUUCCCGGUGUAGAGGUGAAAUUCGUAGAUAUCGGGAGGAAUACCGGUGGCGAAGGCGACUUUCUGGACGAAUACUGACGCUGAGGCGCGAAAGCGUGGGGAGCAAACAGG
rnacentral:rRNA from 1 species